GACAGUGUGGCUCUAGUGGUAAGAGCGUCUGCCUACUGAGUAUGAGGCUCUGAGUUCAAAUCUCAGCACCCUCU
rnacentral:tRNA from 1 species